rnacentral:rRNA from 1 species
AGAGUUUGAUCAUGGCUCAGGACGAACGCUGGCGGCGUGGAUAAGGCAUGCAAGUCGAACGCGAACGGAAUGACUAACUCGUUAGAAGUUCCUAGUAGAGUGGCGAACGGGUGAGUAACGCGUGGAUAACGUGCCUCUCAGUGGGGAAUAACACAGGGAAACUUGUGCUAAUACCGCAUACGUCCUUCCGGCCAAGUCGGAAUGAUGAAAGGUGGGGACCUUCGGGCCUGCCGCUGAGAGAUCGGUCCGCGUCCCAUUAGCUUGUUGGUGGGGUAACGGCCUACCAAGGCAGUGAUGGGUAGCCGGCCUGAGAGGGUGACCGGCCACACUGGGAUUGAGAUACGGCCCAGACUCCUUCGGGAGGCAGCAGUCGAGAAUCUUCCACAAUGGACGAAAGUCUGAUGGAGCGACGCCGCGUGAGUGAUGAGGGCCCUACGGGUUGUAAAACUCUGUCAGGAGAGAAGAAUCGCCGGGAUGCCAAUACCAUCCUGGUCUGACGUUAUCUCCAGAGGAAGCUCCGGCUAACUCCGUGCCAGCAGCCGCGGUAAUACGGGGGGAGCAAGCGUUGUCCGGAAUUAUUGGGCGUAAAGGGCGUGUAGGCGGCCUGGUCAGUCGAAUGUGAAAUCCCACGGCUCAACCGUGGAAUUGCGUUCGAUACUGCCUGGCUUGAGUAUGUGAGAGGUGUGCGGAAUUCCUGGUGUAGCGGUGGAAUGCGUAGAUAUCAGGAAGAACACCGAUGGCGAAGGCAGCACACUGGCGCAAUACUGACGCUGAGGCGCGAAAGCGUGGGGAGCAAACAGGAUUAGAUACCCUGGUAGUCCACGCUGUAAACGAUGGGUACUGGGGUUUCGGGGGUCUCAACCCUCUCGGAGCCGUAGCUAACGCGUUAAGUACCCCGCCUGGGGAGUACGGUCGCAAGGCUGAAACUCAAAUGAAUUGACGG